CACAUACACACACACACGCGCGCGCGCGCGGAUUCCAAUUCACCCUGACCCCACAAAAUAUACACACACACACACACACACACAGAAUCCAGUUCACUCCGACUCUACAUCACACACACACAGACACACACACACAGAAUCCAGUUCAUUCCGACUCUACAUCACACACACACAAACAGAUCCAGUUCACUCUGACCCUACAUCACACACACACACACACACACACACACGGAUUCCAAUUCACCCUGACCCCACAAAACAUACACACACACACAGAAUCCAGUUCACUCUGACCCUACAUCACACACACACACAGAAUCCAGUUCACUCUGACCCUACAUCACACACACACACACAGAAUCCAGUUCACUCCGACUCUACAUCACACACACACACACACACACACACACGACUUUCUUCGUCCUGGCUCAAGGAAGCAGCUAAUUAACUCAAUCACACUGAGGUGUAAAAUACCUGAGAAGAAAUGGUAGUGUUAGUCAUAUCAGAGACACAGUAUUUACUUUUAGGAACCAUCAAAUCCUUGAGUGAAUGGAGUACGAGCUUAGCGGUCUGACAUCAGGCAAGAACCCAGGCUUCUCUUUUUGUUUUCUUGCUUUCCUGUGGGCCAGAAACUUCAGUAUUUGUCUCUCAAAUCUGUCCAGAUAAAGAAUCUGAGGCUCAGCGAAGUUGCCACAUCACAGACUUGGAAAAAGAGGAACCAGGUGCAGAAGCAGAACUUGAAAGUAGCCAUGGAACGUGACCGCUGAAGCGCAGCACCGCAUAGAGACAAUUAAGUCCCCGGAUGUCUGUGGGCCUCCCUGACAGCUGUCAGGCCUACCACAAGAGCUUGGGAGAGCGGAGUUUUCUCCUCACUCACCCGAGGAAGGAGACAUCUCCAUCAUCUUGGACGUCUCUUUCCCUAGCUGGCUAAACAGCAGGUGCUUUCACAGCACUGACACUGCUGCACAGCCAAGGCGUCCUCCAGCAGCCCUCAUGCCGGAGUGACAGAGGACUUAGAGCAUCUUGCCUUAGGGUCACCUCUUUUCCAAUGCCACUUCAGUCCCAUACUUCUUGACCUGAGACUUAUUAGUAAGAUUAAAGAUUAUAUAAUUAUACGUGUGUAUAUAUUUAUGAUUACAUAUGAAUAGCUAUGUGAUUAUUUAUGAUUAUAUAUAGGAAUAACUGUGUGACUAUAUCUCUAAUUCUUUUCUAAUUCUAUGUUUAUAUGAGAACACACUGAGGCUUCAGACUCCUGCCUCAGCUCUUGUGGGGUUUCCUCCCACACACCACCUUGUUUCUGAUUCUGUGAACUUCAGCAUUAUGACUUAUCAUAACUCUCCAUUUUCUGAUGCAGAGAGAAACUUCCACCCCAUCCACAGGGUGUGUCCUUGUCUCCUGGCCAAGGAAAAGGUAACCCCAGCAGUUGGAUAUUAUUAUUCACACUUGAAUAAGAUUCUA